rnacentral:lncRNA from 1 species
UUCCAAAUCCCUGAGCCUGGGCAGUGCAAAAAACACAGCCAAAUUUAGGUAACAGCUUAUUUUCCACCUCUGUGCCCAUGAAGCAGAAUAUAUGAUCUGUGACUAAAGAGUGUUGUCUCUUAUUUGGUGGUAAAUCUUCAACUCUGUUGAGAAUCAGGGUCAGCUUCUCAAAAGAGCCUUUUCCCCAUCUAGGCUUUCUGAAUCUGACUAACACUGUUUUAGGGAAUUGUCUUCUGUCUGACCUUGAAUAGCAUGCUUUCCCUCUUGCCUUUUGGGUGGGGGGCUGGGGGGGAGAUUAUUUUGGACCCUGAAAUCCCUCCCCGGCAGACCUGAUUGCAUUAGCAGGCUCCUUUUAUGGCUCUCCAAAGGGCUUCAGCCCCAGUGACCUGUCCUCUGUCCCCUCACCUGCUUACAUGCUGAUUCAUUGAUGAGCUGGCAUCGCAGGCCCCGCCUCCCUCUGAAUGGUCUGUGAGGUUGCGGUCGCUCCUGGAGAGGGGGUGCUGAGCUGAGCCACAGUGGGUUACUACAAGUGUGAACCAGCAGCCUAUCGGUUGCCACAGAAGGACUUGGUGACCACACAGAGAAGCAGCCCUUUCUUACCACCCUGUGCCUCUUCUCUCUGUAUCUGAAAACGGUGUAAACGUGAAAUAUUGAAAUUUGCCCAGUACCUCCUCAGACUGUUAACAGGUUCUCUUCAUACAGGUAAUGACUAUUUUUUUUAAUAGAGGCUGGUGGAGCGUGGUGCCAAAGUUGAAAUGGAAUAGGGAAGGCUCACUAUUUCUGUGUUGUGUUUAUUUUUCAUGUUGUCAAUAAAAUACAGUUGUGAGUGUUUGCUGAGAUUCACGUUUCUAAAAAUGUGUGCAGUGCAGCUCUAAUUUGGGGAUAGAACUGGAUUCUGGGGAUGUAUCUUUUAUGUCUUUUUGGCAGUGUUGCUGUUGAAUGUGCCUCAGUCUAAGGAAGCAGUAUCUGCAGAGUAGAAAGAUUUUUUUUUUAAAUGCAUGGUCGUGUGAGGGGUUUUUUCCUCUCUCCUGCCUGCUGCAGUUUGCUGGAAAAUCACAAAGCUCUUCUUCCUGCAGGUAUUUAGAAAUUCUCUAGAACUCUUUGAUCAUUAUAAUCCAUAGAUUAUUGCUAGUAUUUGAUUAUAGAGCUUAGCAGUGAAAGAGUUAAGGCCAUUUCUUUUGGAUUUCUGAAUUCCUUGCAAAAUGUGAGCACAAUGUGAAAAACAGCUAAAGAGUAUAAUGUCCAUGAGAGCUUUGAUAUUUGUUUCGUUGCAGUAGAUUUCAAUGUUUAACAUGUUGCAUGAUGGAAAUAGAAACUCUAUUUAAAUCUAAGUGUUGAUAGAAAAUAUUUUUAAGAUGUUCCAUAAUUAUGAACUUAAAUAGCACUUUUGCUGCCCACGGAAUUCCAAGGCAAUGCCAUCGUGAAGAUAGUGACAAGUGAGACCAAAACUGCUUUGACUCUGAUAAUAGAUAUUUUUAAUGGAUCUGCAAACUCCUGAGGAGUAAAGCUUGGUUGAUAUAAUAUCAUACUAUGAUUCUGGCCAUGAGCAAUUAUUGUUAGCUUUAUUUUUUCAACUUAUAUGUGUCUUCUUUAAUCUAAAUCAUGAAAAAGAAGAGUUGCUAAAGAAACCUAGACAUUGUGAUGCAAGGUUGAGAGAUGAAUUUGAGCAACAUUUUCCCUGGGAAAUUAACUCUGUAUGAUGAAUAGCAGAACUGAAAACACAGUUAUUAACAACCUGAUCCGGAAAAACAGUUUUGAGGGAGUAACUGUGAAAAUCAAAAGAUUUCUGAGAGCAUUAUUAAGUAUUAAUAAGUACAUUAAUAGGAUGCUUAUCAGAUGCUUAUCUUUUAGCACUGUAAAUUGCGGUGGCUUUUAAUGCUUUUCAGAAUAAUCAUUGAGAGUAGGUACCCAACUUUGGUUAACUUUGUAGCUCUUUUGUAUUUUUCACCAAGUAUUUAUACUUCUAUACUUCGUCCCAGUGUGACUUUGCUGUAGCAUGUCAAUUGUGAUUAAUUAUAUCAAUAUGAUAUUUGCUUUAAACCCUCAAUAAGGAUGGUGUGCCACUUAUGAAGCUAUAUCUUACUAGACAAUGCUCAAUAGGUUAUCUUUCAUCUUGCUAUAAAAUUAGAGAAAUAUUUUAUAAAAUAAAGCUUUCCAUGAGGUUUCCAUGGUAGUGUAAUUUCCUCUUUGAUAAGGCAGUUUUAAGGUCCUACCUGUUUCUUACUGGAUUUGGGUGCAUUGUUCUACCUUUUUUUUGCAUGACCUGUUUUUGUGUAGUUUUCUGAAACUUCUGAUUUCAAAGAAUUUUAUGAAGAUGGUAAAGUGUUAUGACGUCAUAAACCAUAAGCAUUGAAUCCCAAAUGUUGUGGUUGUCUAAUGACUGUAUGGUAAUGUAUAACAUGAAAUUUAUGGAAAACUAGUAUAGCAGAAAUAUUUUAAGCCUCAUUUAAUGCAUAUUUAGAAAUCAAUAUAGGUAGGAUUUCUUCUCUUCUUUCUGAGCCACAAGGAGAAAAAAAAGAACUUUGAGAAAUAGGGCAGAAUAUUAUAAGGUAGUAAGAUAGAUUUAUAACCUGGGAAGUAUGAUUAAAGCAACUUGUUUCUUGCAAAAUUCUUUUCUGCUCAGUUUCUAAUAUUCAGUGUUGUAAAAUCCAGCCAGAAUCUUUACAACUGCUCAAAAUGCAACUUAAAAAAGACAAUUUCUGCAUUUAUUAGAUGCUGUGAUAAUAUACACUGUUCAUAUUGCAGAAUCUAAUGUAAAAUUCAUUAGAGCACUUUCAAGUCCCUUAGCUAGUAAUUAAUGAAGAAGUAGGAAGCAGGGUUGAAUUAGUUUUAAAAAUUUGCUUUAAGGUUGGAUAUGCAAUCAGUUGCUAAUUGUAUCCUGAACAAUCAGCAUAUGUCUUUGUAGUUAUCAAAAAUUUAAAACAAUAUGAAUAUUCCUUGGAUGACUCUUUGCUUUUAUUUCUUAUUUUACCCACAACCCCUUUAUCUUCACUUUUUCAAUUAAAGAUGUGAUCUAAAGAAAUAGUGACUUUGUUUUACAUUUGAAAACAGGUUAUUUCUGAAAUACGUAACCUGUAUUGUUGGCACUUUCCUUCCAUUUGAUAUCAAAAUGCCCCUGUCUUUACACAAACAGAAAAUUUGAAGUGCAAAGAAAUUUUCAUGGGCACACACUCUCCUUUGAUAUGUCUUAUUAGUGUUAUCACACGUCAGAGGAAAGCAGUUUCCUUUUCAGAGAGCUUUUCAUAUGCUUUGGCAAUGCCAAAGAUUGCUUAUAAAUAAAUAAUUUAAAAGUAGUGAUUUUUUUUCUAAAAUAAGCUUCAUAUUAGAGAGUGCAAAUUCAGUAGUAGAUUUGUCCAGAUAAAAUAAGAUGCUUUUACUUUACCAUAAGCUUUUUCCAUAUUUCUAUCAUGGCAAAUCAUUUUCCAAAGACUGGAUUAUACAAACACCUAUAUUGGCCUUAUUUAUCAUGAACGUAUAAGCAUUUUUAAAGAUUCUUUUGAAUACAAUAAAUCUCAGAAAUCCGUAUGCAAAUGUGAAAAGUUAAUGGCUACUGUGUUCAAUGUAGUGAGGUGUCCUAUAGGAUCAGUUAUCCUAAUUCCUUCUCAAAUUGAGACCUGCCUCUCCUUGUACCAUAUUAUAUUCAAAUCCAGAUGGGGUUCAGGUGUAUAUUUCUGUACAUCUAAAGAAAUGAUGACUUAGGAGAAUUCUAAUAUGACAUCAGUAAUAAGAGACUUAUUCUAUGGAUUGGCCAUUUGUGUACCAUAGGAACCCACAGAACACCCUGUCAGAUAAAUGCUGACCCAUUUAAAAGGGUGGGUAAUAGUAUAGAUAAUAAGUUUUAAACUUUCUUCUGCAUGUGAGAUUUAGUAUUGAAAUGCUUUAUGUAUUUGGGGGGGGAGGUUGUUUGGACAUGUAUCAACUUUCUGCUUCUAGUUUUCUUGAAAAAUCAAGACCUGAACACAUUUUCCUAUUAGCAGGUAUUCCAAAAACCUAUGUCUGAGGUGGCUAUUGCCUGGAGCUUUGUUUCAGGCUUAAGAGUCUGAAAACUACAGGGGCUGCGGAAGUUCACCUCUCCAUCUGAAGGAAACAAAAGCAAUUCAAAGCAAAGCACUCUGUUAAGCUUUCAAUGGCUGUUGAAUUAGUGGGUUAAAGUACUUCACGUUUAUUAGAAUUAUAUUAUUGAAAGUGUGACAUAAACAUUCAUCAUUUCAUCAAGUAGAGAACUUUAGAUUAGAGAGAGAGAGAGCACAUCUGUUUCGCAAAUUGGCAAACAUUUGCUUCCAGCCUUAUCAUUGAGGAAGGGACUGUGGAUCUAACCAUUCACUAGGCUAGUGACUGAAAGAUCUUUUUUAAUGUUGCAUUUUUAAAGUGUAAAAGAGAAAAUAAAGGAUGACGCUUAGCAAAAUAAAGAGACUUAGGAAAGCCUGUUUCUAGCUACGCACACUUGCUUUUUUCAGGCCCUUUCUUUUCCCCUGCUGAUUUCAAAUCACAGGAUCAGGUUUUUGAGUCCCCUCUGACCUCCUCUUCUACCCCUCAUCCCUGCUCCAUCUGAACACAGGGCCCACACAUCUCAUGCAAAGAUGUGUUCCUGAAGACCUCACAUGAUUAAAAAUUCACAAAACUCAGGUUUCAUCCUGGCAAAAGGUGACAGGUGUUUUUCUUUCCUGGUUCUCCUGGCCCUGACAUGAGACAAUUGAAUAAACAGUUUAUUUUCACUUGGCCUGCCACCUCUCAACGUAUGCUAUUCUUGAUUACAUUUUUAUUUUUUAAUUCAUUCGAGCCUUGCUGAUAAAGGGAGAUCAUUUUUCUUAUAGCACUAUGUAACAUUUCCAUUAUUGAAAUGCGCAUAAUAUGCCACCAUGUUAUGCUCAAUUUUCUUGUGCUCCUUCUAUUGAAACCUGCCCUCAAGUAAGAAGAAAGCAAAAGAGGAUGUUUAUUCUUGACUGCCAAGGAACAUAUGUAAUUGUGUUGCCCGCCCAGCAGAGUUUACAUUUUCAGUUUUAUCGGUAGAAUUUUUUUGGCCUCUAUUAAUGAGUUUGACUUUUCAUGCAGAAGUAAAGGGAUAUUUUGAGGGAUUCACCUUCUUUCCUAAUCUCAAAUUCUGCCAUUGCUGCCAGAGCUCAUUAGAGGAGCUGUAGGUUUGAUGGGCACAACACCCCUAUAGGCAGAAUACUGGUUGCCCCUUCCGUUUCAGAAGAAAAUCUGCAUGUGAAUGCUUAAUAACCUGGUAGUUUAUGUUUUUUACUGCAUCAUUAGUAUGUUAGGUAAAACUUGUAGGGCUUAAAGACUCUUCCAAAGAGGAGACUGUUUUGAUCAUUAUGAGAACUUCCAAGUAGUAAGUGAUCUGACUUCACAGUCUUAGUCAUGUUACAUCUUUAAAACUCACUUCUUGACUAAUUGACAAGAUGCAUCAUGUGGUCUCAAGAGGAGAGCUAAUAUUCAUUGAAGGAGCUCUGAUUUGCCCCUGCUGGCUAAGGUAAUCAGACCUUUCUUAGCCAAAACUUCAGCAAUUACACAUCAGCGCUUCAUUUAAAUACACUAAGAAAUAUCGAAGUUUCACAGUUUGGGAUAAAGGCUCUUGAGGAUAUUAUGCAUUGAUUGUAAUAAGUAUCAGUUAUGUUCCUGGCAGGAAAGAGAUCUCAGGAAAAUGAUAUAAUUCUAAAAUAAUAGUAAGGAUGAUGGGAGGCGGUCAACGGUAAGGAAGGGAACAAGGGGUAAGGUGUGCUCGAGUAGCAGCAGGCCACUGAAGGCACAGGGGUGGGGCCCAUUUCUGAAGCCUGGAUGGGGAAACUGUGUGCAAAGACUGCCUGACAGAUGUGGCCAUUCAUACAGAGACACAGCCAACCCAUGGAGACCUGACAGGAAGGGAGCUCUGGGAAAAAAAAAGAAAGAAGAAAGGAAAGGAA